UACGGAGGGUGCAAGCGUUGUCCGGAUUUAUUGGGUUUAAAGGGUGCGUAGGCGGCCAUUUAAGUCUGGGGUGAAAGCCCGUUGCUCAACAACGGAACUGCCCUGGAAACUGGAUGGCUUGAGUACAGACGAGGGUGGCGGAAUGGAUGCUGUAGCGGUGAAAUGCAUAGAUAGCAUCCAGAACCCCCGAUUGCGAAGGCAGCUG
rnacentral:rRNA from 1 species